GGGAAGUUGGGGGAAGAUGACGCGAUAAUAGGAAGGAUUCGAGCGUGAACCGGAUGUAGUGGGUUGAAGAUGGUAGUAGGCGGACUUAAAAUGAAGUGGUGAAAUCCGAUGGCUUAACGAUAGAAGUGGCAUUGAUAGUGUAGGGCUUGAGUAUAGAGGCGGGUGGCGGAAUGUGUGAUGUAGGGGUGAAAUGCAUAGAUAUGACACAGAACACCGAGUGCGAAGGCAGCUGACGAAACUAUAACUGACGCUGAUGCACGAAAGCGUGGGGAGCAAACAGGAUUAGAUACCCGAGUAGUC
rnacentral:rRNA from 1 species